AUUGAACGCUGGCGGCAGGCCUAACACAUGCAAGUCGAGCGGAUGAAGGGAGCUUGCUCCUGGAUUCAGCGGCGGACGGGUGAGUAAUGCCUAGGAAUCUGCCUGGUAGUGGGGGAUAACGUCCGGAAACGGGCGCUAAUACCGCAUACGUCCUGAGGGAGAAAGUGGGGGAUCUUCGGACCUCACGCUAUCAGAUGAGCCUAGGUCGGAUUAGCUAGUUGGUGGGGUAAAGGCCUACCAAGGCGACGAUCCGUAACUGGUCUGAGAGGAUGAUCAGUCACACUGGAACUGGGACACGGUCCAGACUCCUACGGGAAGCAACAGUGGGGAAUAUUGGACAAUGGGCGAAAGCCUGAUCCAGCCAUGCCGCGUGUGUGAAGAAGGUCUUCGGAUUGUAAAGCACUUUAAGUUGGGAGGAAGGGCAGUAAGUUAAUACCUUGCUGUUUUGACGUUACCAACAGAAUAAGCACCGGCUAACUUCGUG
rnacentral:rRNA from 1 species